UACGAAGGGGGCUAGCGUUGCUCGAAAUGACUGGGCGUAAAGGGCGCGUAGGCGGCGGUCACAGUCAGAUGUGAAAUUCCUGGGCUUAACCUGGGGGCUGCAUUUGAUACGUGGUUGCUUGAGUGGGGAAGAGGGUCGUGGAAUUCCCAGUGUAGAGGUGAAAUUCGUAGAUAUUGGGAAGAACACCGGUGGCGAAGGCGGCGACCUGGUCCUUGACUGACGCUGAGGCGCGAAAGCCAGGGGAGCAAACGGG
rnacentral:rRNA from 1 species